rnacentral:rRNA from 1 species
UACGUAGGUGACAAGCGUUGUCCGGAGUUACUGGGCGUAAAGAGUGCGUAGGCGGUGUUCCAAGUCUGUUGUGAAAUCUCCCGGCUCAACUGGGAGGGUGCGGCGGAAACUGGGACGCUGGAGUACGGGAGAGGUAAGCGGAAUUCCUGGUGUAGCGGUGAAAUGCGUAGAUAUCAGGAGGAACACCUGCGGUGUAGACGGCUUACUGGACCGUAACUGACGCUGAGGCACGAAAGCGUGGGUAGCAAACAGG